GACGGGGCCGCACAAGCGGUGGAGCAUGUGGUUUAAUUCGAUGCAACGCGAAGAACCUUACCUGGUCUUGACAUCCACGGAAGUUUUCAGAGAUGAGAAUGUGCCUUCGGGAACCGUGAGACAGGUGCUGCAUGGCUGUCGUCAGCUCGUGUUGUGAAAUGUUGGGUUAAGUCCCGCAACGAGCGCAACCCUUAUCCUUUGUUGCCAGCGGUCCGGCCGGGAACUCAAAGGAGACUGCCAGUGAUAAACUGGAGGAAGGUGGGAUGACGUCAAGUCAUCAUGGCCCUUACGACCAGGGCUACACACGUGCUACAAUGGCGCAUACAAAGAGAAGCGACCUCGCGAGAGCAAGCGGACCUCAUAAAGUGCGUCGUAGUCCGGAUUGGAGUCUGCAACUCGACUCCAUGAAGUCGGAAUCGCUAGUAAUCGUGGAUCAGAAUGCCACGGUGAAUACGUUCCCGGGCCUU
rnacentral:rRNA from 1 species